UACGUAGGGGGCAAGCGUUGUCCGGAAUCAUUGGGCGUAAAGAGCGCGUAGGUGGCUCGGUAAGUCCGCUGUGAAAGUCCAGGGCUCAACCCUGGAAAGCCGGUGGGAACUGUCGAGCUAGAGUCCGGAAGAGGCGAGUGGAAUUCCUGGUGUAGCGGUGAAAUGCGCAGAUAUCAGGAGGAACACCAAUGGCGAAGGCAGCUCGCUGGGACGGUACUGACACUGAGACGCGAAAGCGUGGGGAGCAAACAGG
rnacentral:rRNA from 1 species